GACAGAGGGUGCAAACGUUGCUCGGAAUCACUGGGCGUAAAGGGCGUGUAGGCGGGAAGGAAAGUCAGAUGUGAAAUCCCUGGGCUCAACCCAGGAACUGCAUUUGAAACUCCCUUUCUUGAGUGUCGGAGAGGAAAGUGGAAUUCCUGGUGUAGCGGUGAAAUGCGCAGAUAUCAGGAAGAACGCCCGUGGCGAAAGCGGCUCUCUGGAACGGUACUGACGCUAAGACGCGAAAGCGUGGGGAGCGAACAGG
rnacentral:rRNA from 1 species